rnacentral:rRNA from 1 species
AGUGAACGCUGGCGGUAGGCCUAACACAUGCAAGUCGAACGGCAGCACAGUAAGAGCUUGCUCUUACGGGUGGCGAGUGGCGGACGGGUGAGGAAUACAUCGGAAUCUACUUUUUCGUGGGGGAUAACGUAGGGAAACUUACGCUAAUACCGCAUACGACCUACGGGUGAAAGCAGGGGAUCUUCUGACCUUGCGCGAUUGAAUGAGCCGAUGUCGGAUUAGCUAGUUGGCGGGGUAAAGGCCCACCAAGGCGACGAUCCGUAGCUGGUCUGAGAGGAUGAGCAGCCACACGGGAACUGAGACACGGUCCAGACUCCUACGGGAGGCAGCAGUGGGGAAUAUUGGACAAUGGGCGCAAGCCUGAUCCAGCCAUACCGCGUGGGUGAAGAAGGCCUUCGGGUUGUAAAGCCCUUUUGUUGGGAAAGAAAAGCAGCAGGUUAAUACCCCGCUGUUCUGACGGUACCCAAAGAAUAAGCACCGGCUAACUUCGUG